UACGAGGGGGCUAGCGUUGCUCGGAAUCACUGGGCGUAAAGGGUGCGUAGGCGGGUCUUUAAGUCAGGGGUGAAAUCCUGGAGCUCAACUCCAGAACUGCCUUUGAUACUGAAGAUCUUGAGUUCGGGAGAGGUGAGUGGAACUGCGAGUGUAGAGGUGAAAUUCGUAGAUAUUCGCAAGAACACCAGUGGCGAAGGCGGCUCACUGGCCCGAUACUGACGCUGAGGCACGAAAGCGUGGGGAGCAAACAGGG
rnacentral:rRNA from 1 species